GGGCGGGGUGCGCGGGCGCCGUCGCCGGGUCUGGGGCCCUGAGCAGUGAAAGGAAAUACUUUGACAGAUUUCCAAGAACUUUCCAGGAAAACGGGGCGGGGCCCCGCGAGCUGACCAAUCGCGACGCUGAAGGUGGAGCCGAGCGGUCGGGGAGGGCCAAUAGCAGCGCGUGGACCAGGGGCUGAAGCUACCCAGCGGGGCAGGGAGUACUUGCUGCAUUUGAUCCUCUACAACUGGUGUUGCUCCCGUUAUGCGGACAGAAGACAGCCCCAGGGAACAAAUGCUAGGAAAUGGCAGGGUGAGAAAACUGAGGCAUAGAGAGGUUACAAUAUAACUUAGAUCUCCCAGCUGGCAAGUAAUGGUUUAAGCCAGGAGCCUACACACUUCCUCCUACUUCCUCUAUGGGUGCUGGUGAUCUGCCGACUCCUAGACAUCCAGCUUUAAGGUCCUCAGUGAAGCUUCUCUG
rnacentral:lncRNA from 1 species